UACUGGGAAAAUAAUUUUAUUUUUAAAAAAAUCUUAUGCAAAAGAAUGCUUUGUAAUUCAUGAAAGCAUACUGUCAGGAAUAAAUUCCUCCUUUUCUUAGCAUGGGGAUCUCCCCGCCACCACCUGCUAUCAUUAAUACCAGAAAUCUAACAACAAGCAAACAAGGAAGAACAUGAUGUUGUCUCAGUCUCCAACUCCCUACCACUAUGUCGUGUUUGCACCUACCUCUGGAUUUUUCCAAAACUUCUUUAAGAAAUCUAUAAAAUGAUUGUGCUGAGGAGGUCAGAGUGAUUGCAUUAUGUAGGUAAUGGCAAUGCGAGUUCAUUUCGAUGAUUAAACUAAGAAUACAAUGUAAUAAAUGAAUACUCUUGGAUGGAUACAAAUAGGCAACUAAAGGCAGUAGACUUCCUUAGGCCAAAUUGCAGUCUUUUGUAACAUGUUUAAAUAGUGCUGUGUAAAAAAUGAUACUCAUGUUAUAAAAGAAGAAUAUGUCAACAAAAAGACUUACUCUUCCUACUGAAGUACUGUCUCUUUCUGCCUGAGUGAACAGUGCCAUCCAGAAGUAAAAGAACACCUCAGUUGUCAAUGUGUCUGUCAGCCCCCUCAAGAAUCCCUCUGCUAGGAGCACCUGGCUGGAUUUCUGAGUCCAGAGAGAUUGCACUGACGGAAGACACGACUGUCCAUUAAAGUCCUUUGGCUGGGUUUACACAGAAGUCUGGAUUUCUGCUCUAAAAUUCAGUCGUGGUUGGUGAGAUGGAACCUAACACAGAUUGCUUUUUUUCUCCUCCGAAAACAAAUUUUCAAGUGGCCUCAGAACAACAGAGAAGUGAGUUGUUGGAUAUAAGAAACUAAGAAAAAAGGAGAAAAAAAAAACAAUCUCUGACAGCUGACAACUGUUAGUUGGCCUCCAAAAGCUAGGUUGUAGUGUUGCUUCCUGAACAUAAAUCAUUUCACAGAAUAUCACCAUCAGAUAAGGUUAUUUUGUGACCUUGAUGGAACAAGACAAAAAUAAGGACAAGAUGCUACCACAUUCUCCUCUCAAAGCCAACGUGAGUGACUAAUGCUCUUUGACCAGCGACAGCCUGCUUUAUCCCUCCCCUCUUCUGAAUUAAAAUGAUUAAUGUACUCGGUAACGAAAUAGCCUCCAUUCUCUUUCCUUUUUCUAAAGUUGAAGUAUAGUUGACAUACAAUGUUAU